AACGAACGCUGGCGGCAGGCUUAACACAUGCAAGUCGAGCGCCCCGCAAGGGGAGCGGCAGACGGGUGAGUACCGCGUGGGAACGUACCUUUUGGUUCGGAACAACUCCGGGAAACUGGAGCUAAUACCGGAUAAGCCCUAACGGGGAAAGAUUUAUCGCCGAAAGAUCGGCCCGCGUCUGAUUAGUUAGUUGGUGAGGUAACGGCUCACCAAGGCGACGAUCAGUAGCUGGUCUGAGAGGAUGAUCAGCCACACUGGGACUGAGACACGGCCCAGACUCCUACGGGAGGCAGCAGUGGGGAAUAUUGGACAAUGGGCGCAAGCCUGAUCCAGCCAUGCCGCGUGAGUGAUGAAGGCCUUAGGGUUGUAAAGCUCUUUUGUCCGGGAAGAUAAUGACUGUACCGGAAGAAUAAGCCCCGGCUAACUUCGUG
rnacentral:rRNA from 1 species